rnacentral:rRNA from 1 species
UACCCGCACCCCGAGUGGUCGGGACGUUUAUUGGGCCUAAAGCAUCCGUAGCCGGUUCUACGAGUCUUCCGUUAAAUCCAACUGCUUAACAGGUGGGCUGCGGAAGAUACUAUAGAGCUAGGAGGCGGGAGAGGCAAGCGGUACUCGAUGGGUAGGGGUAAAAUCCGUUGAUCCAUUGAAGACCACCAGUGGCGAAGGCGGCUUGCCAGAACGCGCUCGACGGUGAGGGAUGAAAGCUGGGGGAGCAAACCGG